rnacentral:rRNA from 1 species
UUCCAGACUCCUACGGGAGGCAGCAGUGGGGAAUAUUGCACAAUGGGGGAAACCCUGAUGCAGCGACGCCGCGUGGGUGAAGGAGUGCUUCGGCAUGUAAAGCCCUAUCGGCAGGGAAGAAGCAAGACGGUACCUGACUAAGAAGCCCCGGCUAACUACGUGCCAGCAGCCGCGGUAAUACGUAGGGGGCGAGCGUUAUCCGGAUUCACUGGGUGUAAAGGGAGCGUAGACGGCCAAGCAAGCCAGGGGUGAAAGCCCGGGGCCCAACCCCGGGACUGCCCUUGGAACUGCACGGCUGGAGUGCGGGAGGGGCAGGCGGAAUUCCUGGUGUAGCGGUGAAAUGCGUAGAUAUCAGGAGGAACACCGGUGGCGAAGGCGGCCUGCUGGACUGCAACUGACGUUGAGGCCCGAAAGCGUGGGGAGCAAACAGGAUUAGAUACCCUCGUACC